GCGCCCGUAGCUCAGGGGAUAGAGCAGCGGAUUUCUAAUCCGUUGGUCGGGAGUUCGAAUCUCCCCGGGCGUA
rnacentral:tRNA from 1 species